CAAGGUAAGGGAUUUGAAAAUCCUCCUACAAAAAUGUGGUGAACAAGCAUUUUAUGUGCUGUAACCCUUUUGCUUCAGAACAUGUGCAGAUAAAUCUUCCUCAUGUUUAACUUCCCCGUAGAUGACUGUUUAGCCCUCAGGUGCAGGUGGGUCUGCAUUUGCUCUCAGAAUUCCCAUCUCCAGGAUCCAACGUUAGCUGGGUGAUCUUCAGGGUAUACUGCAAAGGGGUGAACAGGCUGGUCCCUGUUCAGCACAAAGCUUAUUGUCUAAAGCUGAGCAUGUUCUCGAGUAGCCCAGUGAAAUGGACUGUGUCUGGGUGUAGGCCAGGCUGUAGGAGACCUUGCUGGUUUGAGACAGACCUGCUCAUCCCAAUGGUUUCUGCUUCAGUUGGGCAGCCUCUAGUAAGCCCUGGGCUCCUCUCUGUGUUUGUGAGCUGCUGCUGGAAGGAAGCCGUGAGGCAGGUUUCUGAGGCGCUGCUGGAUGAACCGGGGAAGUGCUCUGAUGAACUGUGAUAAAAUGGGUCUGUUCAGACCUUGCACCUCCCUUUUUGCUUGGAAGGGCAGGUGCGUGCCAGAAAAUCCCAACAGGGAGCAGUGGUCAUGCGGUUCCCCCAUCUCUCUGUGUGUUGCUGUUGCCUUCUAGAUCCUGGAUGAUGUGUGCGUGGCAGAAUGCAAAGCUGUCUGAGCAGAUGUUAACCUGUGUGACCUUGGGGAUGGAUGUUAAAAUCCUUUCUAGGACGCUGCGGUGCCAAUAGCCCUUAAUGACAGGGCCAAUAGCCCUUGUAAUGCCUACGAAGUAGUUGGAAGGCUGGUUGCUGCAAGACAUGGGGAUUGAGUUUGCCACCAAUUAAGGAUUAAACUUGCAAACCAUUUUCUCUAGUGAGAGUAACCAUAGGAAGAAAUUGGUUUUGCCUUGUUGUGAAUGCUGGUGUGACAAAAAGGUCCAAGUGUGUUGUGGAGCCUGGUGGCAGGAAAGAGAGACAGCUCUG